CAGCUGCGUGAAUUAAUGUGAAUUGCAGGACACAUUGAACAUCGAUAUCUUGAACGCAUAUUGCGGCCUCGGGCAAUCCCGAGGCCACGCCUGUCUCAGGGUCGGUUGAACGUCAAUCGCGAAGCAGCUCUCAGCUCGCGCAUUGGGCGUCGCAGUCCACCGACGGCGUCUCGACGCCGUCUACGACUUCGUCGCCUCAAGCACAGACGGGUUGCUCGGUCUUCGGCUAGCCCGCCGACCGGGACGGUGACUCGACUCUCGUGGAGCGCACCAUCUCCCGCGUCGACGGGUGGGCCGUCGUCUAUCGUACGCCCUACCAAUUUUCACACUGACUUCGACCUGAGAUCAGACGAGAUUACCCGCUGAAUUUAA
rnacentral:misc_RNA from 1 species